rnacentral:misc_RNA from 1 species
GAUGAAGAACGCAGCGAAAUGCGAUAAGUAGUGUGAAUUGCAGAAUUCAGUGAAUCAUCGAAUCUUUGAACGCACAUUGCGCCCCUUGGUAUUCCAUGGGGCAUGCCUGUUCGAGCGUCAUUUGUACCUUCAGGCUCUGCUUGGUGUUGGGUGUUUGUCUCGCCUCUGCGUGUAGACUCGCCUCAAAACAAUUGGCAGCCGGCGUAUUGAUUUCGGAGCGCAGUACAUCUCGCGCUUUGCACUCAUAACGACGACGUCCAAAAGUACAUUUUUACACUCUUGACCUCGGAUCAGGUAGGGAUACCCGCUGAACUUAAGCAUAUCAAUAAGCGGAGGA